CCUACGGGAGGCAGCAGUAGGGAAUCUUCCACAAUGGACGCAAGUCUGAUGGAGCAACGCCGCGUGAGUGAAGAAGGUUUUCGGAUCGUAAAGCUCUGUUGUUGGUGAAGAAGGAUAGAGGUAGUAACUGGCCUUUAUUUGACGGUAAUCAACCAGAAAGUCACGGCUAACUACGUCCAGCAGCCGCGGUAAU
rnacentral:rRNA from 1 species